rnacentral:tRNA from 1 species
GAGGCUUAGCUCAGUUGGUUAGAGCAAUCGGCUCAUAACCGAUCGGUCCCGGGUUCGAGUCCCUGAGCCUC